rnacentral:lncRNA from 1 species
ACUAUUUGGGGUUGCUAAAAAUGAAAUAAGGAGGGGAAGGGGACAGAAGAUAAACAGGGAGGGAGGAUAAAGGGGAGAACAUGAGAGCGGCAAGUUAAAGUGGUCACUAGAGCAGUAGACAGAAGGAAAGCGAGGAAUAUAAGGCAAGGGAAAGGUUAAGAAGAAGGAACUGCUCUCUGGGUUGUCCAUACUGAAUAGAGUGUUUGUCAUGAAAAGCUAAAAUCCGUAUCUUGAAGAAAACCUACCACGUAAAGAUGUUCCCUAGAAGAACCAUCAUGAUGAAAGGCUUGCAGCUGUAGUGUAACUCGCUUCUGGAUGCUUCAUUUUAUUUCUAUGGCCACCACUAUUUGUCUGGUUGUUUAUAGAAGCCGAGAAGCAGAACCCCUAUGGCUGAAGACUGGUCCUGAUAGAAAUUCUUCUUCUAAUCUCUGCAAACCUGGAAGAUGUUCAGGUCACCCUGUAAAUGAUUCAAAGCCAGAUACUAUGGCCCAAUCCGAUGAGUGACCUGUUUUGGGAAGCAAACAUUUUUAAAGAAACCCUACUUGAAAGUUAAAGACUACAAUUGCAUGUCAGAAUAUAGACUACUGCUACCAAGUGUGAUUGUUCUCCUGAACGCUCUGCUUUUGUGACAGUUAAUGGAAUUUAAAAAGGAAAAGUAAACGUAUCUAUAACCUAACUUUCGGAAUAGAAAGGAAUGGAUUGGAAUGGAAUCCUAACUACAUCGUGUGUCUCAGAAUUAAGUCCAUUGUUCUUAACCUGUUAUUCUUCAGCGACCUCACAGAACUGAAAGCUACCUAAAACUGAAA